GUAACUGAGUUUUGUUUUAAAUUUUUUUUUAAUUUAUUAGAGAAAGAAUGAGAGAGAGAGAGAGAGAGAGAGCACAAGCAGGGGGAGGAGCAGAGGGAGACAAAGGACCCAGAAGCCUUGAGUUCUUGGCACUUUAUGGAGUCAGCAUUAUUAAGGAAUCAGGAAAACGUAUAUUAAAGCUUCACAAGAGACCUCUGACUACCCAUGAGACAGUGAAAAUUAAAAGCAAGUGUUGGAAGAAGUUGCUGUGGUUGAGGUCGAAGAGGUUGCUGCCUGUGUUCUCCUCAAAGAUUUGGAUGGAUUCCUGUCUCACAUAGAAGUCUUUCAUCCAUUUUGAGUCUAUUUUUGUGUGUGGUGUAAGGAAAUGGCCCAGUUUCACUCUUCUGCAUGUGGCUGUCCAAUUUUCCCAAAACCAUUGGGACAUUUUUCCAUUGGACAUUCUUUCCUGCUUUGUUGAAGAUAGAGUUGAGGGUCUAUUUCUGGGCUCUCUAUUCUGUUCCAUUGAUCUAUGUGUCUGUUUUUGUGCCGGUACAAUACUGUCUUGAUGAUGACAGCUUUGUAAUAGAGCUUGAAGUCUGGAAUUGUGAUGCUACCAACUUUGGCUUAUCAAAUGCAACACCCAAAGAAUAAAUAAUCCAAUCACGAAAUGGGCAGAACACAUGAACAGACUUUUCUACAAAGAAGACAUCCAGAUGGCCAAUAGACAGAUGAAAAAAUGCCCACAUCACUCGGCAUCAGGGAAAUACAACUCAAAACCACAAUGAGAUACGACCUCACACCAGUCAGAAUGGCUAAAAUGAACAAGUUAGGAAAUGACAGAUGCUGGCGAGGAUGCGGAGAAAGGGGAACCCUCCUACACUGCUGGUGUGAAUGCAAGCUGGUGCAACCACUCUAGAAAACAGCACGGAGGUUCCUCAACAAGUUGAAAAUAGAGCUAUCCUACGACCCAGGAAUCACACUACUGGGUAUUUACCUUAAAGAUACAAAUGUAGGGGCUCCUGGGUGGCUCAGUUGGUUAAAGCCUCUCUUUGGCUCGGGUCAUGGUUCCAGGGUACUGGGAUCGAGCCCCGCAUCGGGAUCUCUGCUCAGCAAGGAGCCUGCUUCCUCCUCUCUCUCUGCUUCUCUGCCUACUUGUGAUCUCUGCCUCUCAAAUAAAUAAAUAAAAUCUUAAAAAAAAAAAUAAAAAGAUACAAAUGUAGUGAUCCAAAGGGGCACAUGCACCAGAAUGUUUAUAGCAGCAAUGUCCACAAUAGCCAAA
rnacentral:lncRNA from 1 species